rnacentral:rRNA from 1 species
GUGGGGAAUAUUGGGCAAUGGGGGAAACCCUGACCCAGCAAUGCCGCGUGAAGGAAGAAGGUUUUCGGAUUGUAAACUUCUGUCCUGAAGGACGAAGAAAGUGACGGUACUUCAGGAGGAAGCCCCGGCUAACUACGUGCCAGCAGCCGCUGUAAUACGUAGGGGGCAAGCGUUGUCCGGAAUUAUUGGGCGUAAAGGGUGCGUAGGCGGUUUGACAAGUCAGAUGUGAAAUAUUCGGGCUUAACCUGGAGGGUGCAUUUGAAACUGUCAGACUUGAGUGCAGGAGAGGAAAGCGGAAUUCCUAGUGUAGCGGUGAAAUGCGUAGAUAUUAGGAGGAACACCAGUGGCGAAGGCGGCUUUCUGGACUGUAACUGACGCUGAGGCACGAAAGCGUGGGGAGCAAACAGGAUUAGAUACCCCGGUAGUCC